CUUGCCUGGUAGGGUUUGGGGGCUGCAGGUGUGGUGGCUGGAGUACCGCCCACUCCCGGCCUCAGUCUAAACACCUGCAGAUCAGAAGAGAACACGUCUGCAUCACUC